AAAAAACAACAACAAAUGCUUCCAAAAUCCCCACCCCUGGAGCAAGAAUUUGUUCUUUCUUUUUUCUUUUUCUUUUUCUUUUUCUUUUUCUUU
rnacentral:ribozyme from 13 species